rnacentral:rRNA from 1 species
AGUGAACGCUGGCGGUAGGCCUAACACAUGCAAGUCGAACGGCAGCACAGUAAGAGCUUGCUCUUACGGGUGGCGAGUGGCGGACGGGUGAGGAAUACAUCGGAAUCUACUUUUUCGUGGGGGAUAACGUAGGGAAACUUACGCUAAUACCGCAUACGACCUACGGGUGAAAGCAGGGGAUCUUCGGACCUUGCGCGAUUGAAUGAGCCGAUGUCGGAUUAGCUAGUUGGCGGGGUAAAGGCCCACCAAGGCGACGAUCCGUAGCUGGUCUGAGAGGAUGAUCAGCCACACUGGAACUGAGACACGGUCCAGACUCCUACGGGAGGCAGCAGUGGGGAAUAUUGGACAAUGGGCGCAAGCCUGAUCCAGCCAUACUGCGUGGGUGAAGAAGGCCUUCGGGUUGUAAAGCCCUUUUGUUGGGAAAGAAAAGCAGCAGGUUAAUACCCCGCUGUUCUGACGGUACCCAAAAAAUAAGCACCGGCUAACUUCGUG